rnacentral:rRNA from 1 species
CCUACGGGUGGCAGCAGUGAGGAAUAUUGGUCAAUGGGCGGAAGCCUGAACCAGCCAAGUCGCGUGAGGGAAUAAGGCCCUACGGGUCGUAAACCUCGUUUGCCGGGGAGCAAGGGCGGGGACGUGUCCCGGCCCGGAGAGUACCCGGAGAAAAAGCAUCGGCUAACUCCGUGCCAGCAGCCGCGGUAAUACGAAGGAUGCGAGCGUUAUCCGGAUUUAUUGGGUGUAAAGUGUGCGUAGGCGGGCUGUUAGGUCAGCGGUAAAAAUUCGGGGCGCAACCCCGGCCGGCCGUUGCAACGGGGGGCAUGGAGUGGGCGAGAAGAAGGCGGAAUGCGUGGUGUAGCGGUGAAAUGCAUAGAUAGCACGCAGAACCCCGAUUGCGAAGGCAGCCUUCCGGCGCCCUACUGACGCCGAGGGACGAAAGUGCGGGGAUCGAACAGGAUUAGAUACUCGGGUAGUC